UAGGGAAUCUUCCGCAAUGGACGCAAGUCUGACGGAGCAACGCCGCGUGAGUGAAGAAGGAUUUCGGUUCGUAAAACUCUGUUGUUAGAGAAGAACAGCGCAUAGAGUAACUGUUAUGCGUGUGACGGUAUCUAACCAGAAAGCCACGGCUAACUACGUGCCAGCAGCCGCGGUAAUACGUAGGUGGCAAGCGUUGUCCGGAUUUAUUGGGCGUAAAGCGAGCGCAGGCGGUCAAUUAAGUCUGAUGUGAAAGCCCCCGGCUCAACCGGGGAGGGUCAUUGGAAACUGGUUGACUUGAGUGCAGAAGAGGAGAGUGGAAUUCCAUGUGUAGCGGUGAAAUGCGUAGAUAUAUGGAGGAACACCAGUGGCGAAGGCGACUCUCUGGUCUGUAGCUGACGCUGAGGCUCGAAAGCGUGGGUAGCAAAC
rnacentral:rRNA from 1 species